rnacentral:rRNA from 1 species
UGAGUACGAGACGCUAAGGCGUCGAAGUAGUGGAUGUCAUACUUCCAAGAAAAGCUUGCACUGUCAUAAAUACAAAACGCCUGUACCAUAACCGACACAGGUGGGUAGGUAGAGUAUACUAAGGGGCGCGAGAUAACUCUCUCUAAGGAACUCGGCAAAAUAACUCCGUAACUUCGGGAGAAGGAGUGCCUUAUUCGUAAGGCUGCAAUAACAAGAUCCAAGCAACUGUUUAUCAAAAACACAGGUCUCCGCUAAGUCGUAAGACGAUGUAUGGGGGCUGACGCCUGCCCAGUGCCAGAAGGUUAAAGAAGUCGGUUAGCAUUAGCGAAGCUGGUAACUGAAGCCCUGGUGAACGGCGGCCGUAACAAUAACGGUCCUAAGGUAGCGAAAUACCUUGUCGGGUAAGUUCCGACCCGCACGAAAGGCGUAAUGAUUUGGAUACUGUCUCGGAGAGGGGCUCGGUGAAAUAGACUUGUCUGUGAAGAUGCGGACUACCUGCACCAGGACAGAAAGACCCUAUGAAGCUUUACUGUAAUUUGAAAUUGAAAUUGGACUUUAUUCGCGCAGUAUAGGUGGGAGGUGUUGAUUAUAAUCUUGCGGGAUUAUUGGAGCCAUCAGUGAGAUACCACUCUUGUAAUGUUAGAUUUCUAACUUUGAAUCAUUAUCUGGUCAAAGAACAGUUUCAGGCGGGCAGUUUGACUGGGGCGGUCGCCUCCUAAAUGGUAACGGAGGCGUACAAAGGUUUCCUCUGAACGGGUAGAAAUCGUAUCUAGAGUGUAAAGGCAUAAGGAAGCUUGACUGUGAGACCUACAAGUCGAGCAGGGACGAAAGUCGGUCUUAGUGAUCUGACGGUACUGAGUGGAAAGGCCGUCACUCAACGGAUAGAAGUUACUCUAGGAUAACAGGCUGAUCUCCCCCAAGAGUUCACAUCGACGGGGAGGUUUGGCACCUCGAUGUCGGCUCAUCGCAUCCUGGGGCGGUAGUACGUCCCAAGGGUUGGGCUGUUCGCCCAUGAAAGCGGUACGCGAGCUGGGUUCAGAACGUCGUGAGACAGUUCGGUCCAUAUCCGGUGUAGGCGUUAGAAUAUUGAGAGGAGCCUUCUUUAGUACGAGAGGACCGAGAAGGACAUACCUCUGGUGUACCAGUUAUCGUGCCAACGGUAAACGCUGGGUAGCUAUGUAUGGAGUGGAUAACCGCUGAAAGCAUCUAAGUGGGAAGCCCACCUCAAGAUAAGUAUUCUCAUC